GGGUUGUGAGGUUAAGCGACUAAGCGUACACGGUGGAUGCCCUGGCAGUCAGAGGCGAUGAAGGACGUGCUAAUCUGCGAAAAGCGUCGGUAAGGUGAUAUGAACCGUUAUAACCGGCGAUGUCCGAAUGGGGAAACCCAGUGCAAUUCGUUGCACUAUCGUUAACUGAAUACAUAGGUUAACGAGGCGAACCGGGGGAACUGAAACAUCUAAGUACCCCGAGGAAAAGAAAUCAACCGAGAUUCCCCCAGUAGCGGCGAGCGAACGGGGAGCAGCCCAGAGUCUGAAUCAGCUUGUGUGUUAGUGGAACGGUCUGGAAAGUCCGACGGUACAGGGUGAUAGUCCCGUACACCAAAAUGCACAGGCUGUGAACUCGAAGAGUAGGGCGGGACACGUGGUAUCCUGUCUGAAUAUGGGGGGACCAUCCUCCAAGGCUAAAUACUCCUGACUGACCGAUAGUGAACCAGUACCGUGAGGGAAAGGCGAAAAGAACCCCGGCGAGGGGAGUGAAAAAGAACCUGAAACCGUGUACGUACAAGCAGUGGGAGCACCUUCGGGUGUGACUGCGUACCUUUUGUAUAAUGGGUCAGCGACUUAUAUUCUGUAGCAAGGUUAACCAUAUAGGGGAGCCGCAGGGAAACCGAGUCUUAACUGGGCGUUAAGUUGCAGGGUAUAGACCCGAAACCCGGUGAUCUAGCCAUGGGCAGGUUGAAGGUUGGGUAACACUAACUGGAGGACCGAACCGACUAAUGUUGAAAAAUUAGCGGAUGACUUGUGGCUGGGGGUGAAAGGCCAAUCAAACCGGGAGAUAGCUGGUUCUCCCCGAAAGCUAUUUAGGUAGCGCCUCGUGAACUCAUCUUCGGGGGUAGAGCACUGUUUCGGCUAGGGGGUCAUCCCGACUUACCAACCCGAUGCAAACUACGAAUACCGAAGAAUGUUAUCACGGGAGACACACGGCGGGUGCUAACGUCCGUCGUGAAGAGGGAAACAACCCAGACCGCCAGCUAAGGUCCCAAAGUCAUGGUUAAGUGGGAAACGAUGUGGGAAGGCACAGACAGCCAGGAUGUUGGCUUAGAAGCAGCCAUCAUUUAAAGAAAGCGUAAUAGCUCACUGGUCGAGUCGGCCUGCGCGGAAGAUGUAACGGGGCUAAACCAUGCACCGAAGCUGCGGCAGCGACACUAUGUGUUGUUGGGUAGGGGAGCGUUCUGUAAGCCUGCGAAGGUGACCUGUGAGGGUUGCUGGAGGUAUCAGAAGUGCGAAUGCUGACAUAAGUAACGAUAAAGCGGGUGAAAAGCCCGCUCGCCGGAAGACCAAGGGUUCCUGUCCAACGUUAAUCGGGGCAGGGUGAGUCGACCCCUAAGGCGAGGCCGAAAGGCGUAGUCGAUGGGAAACAGGUUAAUAUUCCUGUACUUGGUGUUACUGCGAAGGGGGGACGGAGAAGGCUAUGUUAGCCGGGCGACGGUUGUCCCGGUUUAAGCAUGUAGGCUGAUUGUCCAGGCAAAUCCGGAUAAUCAAGGCUGAGGUGUGAUGACGAGGCACUACGGUGCUGAAGUAACAAAUGCCCUGCUUCCAGGAAAAGCCUCUAAGCAUCAGGUAACAUCAAAUCGUACCCCAAACCGACACAGGUGGUCAGGUAGAGAAUACCAAGGCGCUUGAGAGAACUCGGGUGAAGGAACUAGGCAAAAUGGUGCCGUAACUUCGGGAGAAGGCACGCUGGUGUGUAGGUGAAGUCCCUGCGGAUGGAGCUGAGACCAGUCGAAGAUACCAGCUGGCUGCAACUGUUUAUUAAAAACACAGCACUGUGCAAACACGAAAGUGGACGUAUACGGUGUGACGCCUGCCCGGUGCCGGAAGGUUAAUUGAUGGGGUUAUCCGUAAGGAGAAGCUCUUGAUCGAAGCCCCGGUAAACGGCGGCCGUAACUAUAACGGUCCUAAGGUAGCGAAAUUCCUUGUCGGGUAAGUUCCGACCUGCACGAAUGGCGUAAUGAUGGCCAGGCUGUCUCCACCCGAGACUCAGUGAAAUUGAACUCGCUGUGAAGAUGCAGUGUACCCGCGGCAAGACGGAAAGACCCCGUGAACCUUUACUAUAGCUUGACACUGAACAUUGAGCCUUGAUGUGUAGGAUAGGUGGGAGGCUUUGAAGCGUGGACGCCAGUCUGCGUGGAGCCAACCUUGAAAUACCACCCUUUAAUGUUUGAUGUUCUAACGUUGGCCCCUUACCGGGGUUGCGGACAGUGUCUGGUGGGUAGUUUGACUGGGGCGGUCUCCUCCCAAAGCGUAACGGAGGAGCACGAAGGUUAGCUAAUCCUGGUCGGACAUCAGGAGGUUAGUGCAAUGGCAUAAGCUAGCUUGACUGCGAGCGUGACGGCGCGAGCAGGUGCGAAAGCAGGUCAUAGUGAUCCGGUGGUUCUGAAUGGAAGGGCCAUCGCUCAACGGAUAAAAGGUACUCCGGGGAUAACAGGCUGAUACCGCCCAAGAGUUCAUAUCGACGGCGGUGUUUGGCACCUCGAUGUCGGCUCAUCACAUCCUGGGGCUGAAGUAGGUCCCAAGGGUAUGGCUGUUCGCCAUUUAAAGUGGUACGCGAGCUGGGUUUAGAACGUCGUGAGACAGUUCGGUCCCUAUCUGCCGUGGGCGCUGGAGAAUUGAGGGGGGCUGCUCCUAGUACGAGAGGACCGGAGUGGACGCAUCACUGGUGUUCGGGUUGUCAUGCCAAUGGCACUGCCCGGUAGCUAAAUGCGGAAGAGAUAAGUGCUGAAAGCAUCUAAGCACGAAACUUGCCCCGAGAUGAGUUCUCCCUGAGACUUUAAGUCUCCUGAAGGAACGUU
rnacentral:rRNA from 1 species